rnacentral:rRNA from 1 species
CCUACGGGUGGCUGCAGUGGGGAAUAUUGGACAAUGGGGGAAACCCUGAUCCAGCAAUGCCGCGUGUGUGAAGAAGGCCUGCGGGUUGUAAAGCACUUUCGGCGGGAAAGAAAAGUCGCGCGUUAAUACCGUGCGGCCUUGACGUUACCCGCAAAAGAAGCACCGGCUAACUCCGUGCCAGCAGCCGCGGUAAUACGGAGGGUGCGAGCGUUAAUCGGAAUUACUGGGCGUAAAGCGCACGUAGGCGGGCAAUUAAGUCGGAUGUGAAAUCCCCGGGCUUAACCUGGGAACUGCAUCCGAUACUGGUUGCCUAGAGUAUGGAAGAGGGAAGCGGAAUUCCAGGUGUAGCGGUGAAAUGCGUAGAUAUCUGGAGGAACAUCAGUGGCGAAGGCGGCUUCCUGGUCCAAUACUGACGCUGAGGUGCGAAGGCGUGGGGAGCAAACAGGAUUAGAUACCCUGGUAGUC